rnacentral:rRNA from 1 species
AGUGAACGCUGGCGGCAGGCCUAACACAUGCAAGUCGAACGGCAGCACAGUAAGAGUUUGCUCUUACGGGUGGCGAGUGGCGGACGGGUGAGGAAUACAUCGGAAUCUACUUUUUCGUGGGGGACAACGUAGGGAAACUUACGCUACUACCGCAUACGACCUACGGGUGAAAGCAGUGGAUCUUCGCACCUUGCGCGACUGUAUGAGCCGAUGCCGGAUUAGCUAGUUGGUUGGGUAAAGGCCCACCAAGGCGACGAUCCGUAGCUGGUCUGAGAGGAUGAUCGGCCACACUGGAACUGAGACACGGUCCAGACUCCUACGGGAGGCAGCAGUGGGGAAUAUUGGACAAUGGGCGCAAGCCUGAUGCAGCAAUGCCGCGUGGGUGAAGAAGGCCUUCGGGUUGUAAAGCCCUUUUGUUGGGAAAGAAAAGCAGCAGGAUAAUACCCCGCUGUUCUGACGGUACCCAAAGAAUAAGCACCGGCUAACUUCGUG